CUUAAAAGUAGCCCAAAAUCCCAAAUCCCAGCCAUAGCCCAAAACGCGAUUCUCUCUCUCUCUUCUCUCAAAAUACGAAUUCUUCCCAUACUGUGCCCUAGAUUCGCAAUUCAGCGAACAAAAGCCCUGAUAGUGUCAAAUUCCAUGUAUUUUUCUUUCCUAGCUUUUCAAUCUCAUCAGUGAAUCGAAGAGCCUCAUACAUUGCACGGCACCUGAGCCUCUGGAUUGAAUUGGGGACAUCAUUAUUGGAGAGGCGCGAAUCGAUUGUCUCUCUCUUCUCUCCAAAGACGAUUUCUGCCCAUACCCAAGCCCUAGAUUCGCGAUUCUCUCCAAAUGCUUCUGCAAAUCCCUAACUUUCCUUCGCAAAGCAGGUAUGCGAUUUAGGAAAAGCUUCUCAACUGCGUUCUCUCUUCAAUUUGUUUGUCGCUCCAACCCACCUGAAUUGGCAACUUUGUUUGUCUGUGGUCUUCAAUUUACAACUUUAUAUAUUUAUUCUUCUACUUCUGUAAGUGGAUUGUCAUCUUGUUAUUUUUCACGUUUAUAAGUGAGUGAUAAAUUAGCUAUUGUUCACUUAUACAAGUAGUGAGUGAUAAAUUAGCUAUUGUUCACUAAUACAAGUGGGUGGUUUGUAAAAUUGUGAAAUUAUAAUUUUCAGAAUAUUGAGUUAUGGAGUGGUAUGAAUUAUUGAGUUAUGGAAUUGAACUAGGGGCAGAAACUGAGCUUGUUAUUAUUUUCAUUUUUGUUAUAAUUGUUAUAAUUGGUAUAAUCGGGUUCAACUUAUGCUUGUUUUCCUAAUAUUUUCAUUGGCUUACAGAACACACUGAAGUACGAAUUCGGAAGAGUUUGGGCUAUUGGAUGCUUGAAAAAUCCACCCCAGUAAGUUUCUUUUUCUUUUCCUAAGCUCUCUAAGUUGAAUUUCUAUUUAGUAAAAUUAAAAAAAAAAAAGGAGAAAACUUUAUUGACUAAAAAUAUUCGUUAGCAGGAGUGUAGUUGGUUGUGAUCAAGGAACCAUAAUUGGAAAAGUUGUCUGUGCUCACAGUUGGGAUUCAGCAAACCUCCCAGUCCAAGAGGCGAAAUACUCGAACGAAUAACUGCUAAUCUGCAGCUGUCAAUUUACUACUAUUAUGUGUUCAAAUGAAUAAUGUUGUAUGAUUAUUACUAUUUUGUAACAAAACUAGAUAGUUUGCUUUGAAUAAAGGAAGAGUUUUUCAUGGUCUAGACUAGAGAUUUCAAGUUCUAUCUUGUUCUGUAUAAUGUAUUUUAUAUAUAACCAAUUUUUUCAUCAGAACAUAAUAGUACCCCAUUUGAUCCAAGGGUUACAACAAGUACUUUGACACCUUUCUUUAGCACAACUGCAAUUGCAGGUUCAAGCAACUGCAAAGGCGAAAAAUAUCUUUGUUUUGUUUUUUGAAAAUAUAGGCCAUAAUUUGUAAUGACCUUUUGUGGAAUGCAGCUAGAGAU
rnacentral:lncRNA from 1 species